GGUUCAUUCUGCAUCAUAUCUGUAUCACAUCUGAUAUCCGUAUCACAACCAACAAGAAAUUUGUUGCAUAUCUGCAGACUUGGAGGUGAGUGGUUAUUAUGGAAUUUUUUGUAGCUGCUAUAAAUCUUGACCAUCAUACAUAAUAUGAAUUUCACUAUGACAUGAGGUUUCUAGCCCAUGGUAUACAGGCUAUAUGCUUACUAAUAGCCAGGGUACCACUCAUCAAAAAAUCAGUUUCAGUCAGUCGUCUGUGGAAUAAAGUUUAUUUAAUGUCAAAAGCUAAAGCUGCUGAACAAAAGUAGGAAGCUAAACAUUAAUGCAAACCUAAUCCAUUUCUAACUGUGAGGUGUAUUAACUUGCAGUUAGCAACAGCAUAUCAGUUCUGCAUUUCUGAGUCAGCCAAAAUAGAAACAGUUGCUCUUGAUUGUCAGGAUACACUGAACCCUGAGGUUAACCUUUACCAGGCUCCUCAGCAUGCAGAAAACCUUCACGCUGCAGGAUUUCACAUCACAGCAUCUUCUGUAGAAACCUAUUAUUUACAACUGAAAACCAUUUCUAUUUACACUGAAAACCAUACCUCCUCCUUGUACUGCUCCAAAUUAAGAUGAAAGAUUGCAACUUGGAACCGGAACCCUGGAAGUAGUUCACGUCUUUAUUUGAGGUCACAACCUACUAACGUUACAGGUGACGUAAAAGGUAAGCUUAGACGUACUCCUUGUUGCUUAUGACUGUCUCAGAGUUUUUGGUGUACGUGUGCUGCUGAGGAGACGCCUGGCCUGCUGAAUACGUGUAUUUGUUGAAACUGCAUUAAGAAAAAAAGAAAGAGAUACAAAAUAAUAGGUAUUACACACACGUCCACAGCUUCAGACACCUGGGAAGUUACUCAGUUAGGUCUAUCCAGCCCACUGACAGCACACACUUCACGAAGGGGCAGAAAUUAGAGGCCUGUUGUUCUCAUCAGUCUUGCACCUAUGGGGAAAGAGGUGGGCUAUUUGACAGAUAGCACAGCCAUCUCUCUCUUGUACCCAGAAACACACUCUGGAUUCCUAACUGACAUGUGCUCUUCCUCAAGACAUUUUAGUCAAGUCCCUAAAGCAGAAGAGAACCCAGACCUUAAUGCCUUUGUGCAAACUGCAGUUUUUAAUACAGGAAUCAAGAUGAUGAGAAAGGAAAACAGAAGUAUCUUUGGCCAACCCCUUCAUCCGUCAUUCAUCAUGUUGAACUUCUAUUAUUCAAUUCAUCAGUUUUACCUGAUUUUCAAGGUACUUCAGGGUAUUUGGUACUUUGUAUGGUGAGCGAGAUCUAAAGUCCAAUGUGGCUUACGAAAUAUUACUGUAAAACUUAAUUGGCUUCAGAUUAGGCAGUGGAGUAUCAGAGGAACACUCUCACUUAUCAUCUGUUUUGACAUAACUUUCCUAAGAUUAAAUACAGUAGCAAGGAGCAUGCUUCUUCCUUCUAUGUUAUCAUCCUCCCAAGCCAUUUGGGUUUUUCUCAGUAGAAAUGGACCCGUGCUUCUUUCUGGUAAUUUCAUUCCCUCUCCUUCAGAAAGGGACUUUCUGUAUGUGUGAAUAAUUUAAGAUUGGAGGAAAAAAAAAAAAAAAA
ensembl:lncRNA